CUGAGCUGCGCGGUCUACGCAGGCUCGGCGGUCUGUACGAAGCCGUCCGUUCCGGCACGGGACGGCACAGAUGAAAAGGA
rnacentral:ncRNA from 1 species